CUAUGGGAGGAGCACAGUGAUAGUGAACAGGUGAUUUUGCGUGAUAACUGUUACUAUAUAGUGUAAUUUAGCACGUCUGAACUCUGUACUGACCAAUCAGCACUCAGGACCUGAACGCUCUGUUUUCUAAUUUAGUUUCCGGUGCACUGCCUCUCUUUCUAUCUAUCUCUCUCUCUCUCUCUCUGUCUUUUGUCGGAUCGAGGUAGCGGAGGGGUCUUGGUGGCAGAUGGGCAGGAGUAUCAGGGAUUGACUAAUCCCAAAUCUGCCGUCUCCUCACCACACCGAAACCAGGGGAGAGGCACGAGCCAGCUGCCACAUAGACGCCUUUCAUGCUCGUCUGCACACAACAGCUGCAGCAGGCCUGCCUGCUUGCUUCUAAAUUAUUAAACAUCUUUUUAGUUUGUUCCAGAUGCAGAGCCCGAUGUGCUUAUGGAGGCCUUUGUGCAUUUUACAUACCGUUCCUUUUCCCCUCCUCUCAUCAGAAUGCUGUUUGUAAAAGUCAUUAUCCCAUCUGUGCCGCCAGUUUGGACAAAACAGCCCAAGACUGAUCCAGCCCGCUUCUGUUUUCCGGGAUAGUUUAGGAGUUGAGGAUGAAGAUGAUGAUUGGGGGUGCGGUCCACCUGUAAGCCGUCUCGGCCGCUGCUUCGGGGCGGCAACAGGAGUUUUGCAAAAUAGAAGAAUAGAAAAGAAAACAGCCCAGUGUGUGCAGGUGAGGAACACAAAGGCAGUGCAAAUGUUUGAGUGAUUUGGCAUGAGUUUGUUGCAGCCAGGCUGCUGGAUUGAAGUUAAUAAGCAUGCGAAAGGCCCAACGAGAGAAGCGCGACUCUCAGCGUCUCCCCCCGUCCAGGCUGGAUCUCCAGAUGAGUCCUCCAUGGCCCACACACACCAGAGACGAGUCUGGAUCCUCCACUGGAGCCGCUGCACCUGUUGUUUUCAGGAGUUGGGGAAAGAUAGACACUCGUGCUCAGAGACUGUAUGGAAGGAUGAGAACAGGCAAUGUGUUUUGUCGCUAAAGCCAAAAAAGAUACUGACCUUUAAAUCUGCUGUUGAUAAAUGCACUUUCCCUCUCAAAAAGAAAAAAAGUCAUGCUGGCAUCUCCUCUACCCUGGAUCUUUGAAUAUUCAUCAGGCUCUUGAGAGGUGCUGAACCAUCCAAUCACAUCUGGAUGAAGGGAAGCCCUCGGCUUUGGACUGCCUUAACGCUCUGAGCUUGAACCGGAGCUGACGGGUUAAUCAAUGCUGUGAUCAAUUGGCAACGUACAAAUUGUUUUAUUCGAAUGGAAAAUGCAAACUGUUGUUUCUCAAGUCUUGAUUAAUUGCAUCGUUCCUGACCCACAUAUCGAAUGCUGCUCGGGAAAGCCCAAAGCUCUGAGCAGACCGUACUGGUACAAAUUUUAUAAUAAGGUUAUGUUACAGUAUACUGUAAAUUAACCAAGACAUAAUGCUCAGAAGGGCUUUUAUUGGAAAUUAAUAACUGAGA
ensembl:lncRNA